CCUACGUGAGGCAGCAGUGAGGAAUAUUGGUCAAUGGACGAGAGUCUGAACCAGCCAAGUAGCGUGAAGGAUGACUGCCCUAUGGGUUGUAAACUUCUUUUAUAUGGGAAUAAAACGUUCCACGUGUGGGAUUUUGUAUGUACCAUAGGAAUAAGGAUCGGCUAACUCCGUGCCAGCAGCCGCGGUAAUACGGCGGAUCCGAGCGUUAGCCGGAUUUAUUGGGUUGAAAGGGAGCGUAGGUGGAUUGUUAAGUCAGUUGUGAAAGUUUGCGGCUCAACCGUAAAAUUGCAGUUGAAACUGGCAGUCUUGAGUACAGUAGAGGUGGGCGGAAUGCGUGGUGUAGCGGUGAAAUGCUUAGAUAUCACGAAGAACUCCGAUUGCGAAGGCAGUUCACUGGACUGCAACUGACACUGAGGCUCGAAAGUGUGGGUAUCAAACAGGAUUAGAUACCCCAGUAGUC
rnacentral:rRNA from 1 species